UUUGGUUAAGUUAGAAAGGGCGCACGGUGGAUGCCUUGACACUAGGAGUCGAUGAAGGACGGGACUAACGCCGAUAUGCUUCGGGGAGCUGUAAGUAAGCUUUGAUCCGAAGAUUUCCGAAUGGGGAAACCCACCAUACGUAAUGGUAUGGUAUCCUUAUCUGAAUACAUAGGGUAAGGAAGACAGACCCAGGGAACUGAAACAUCUAAGUACCUGGAGGAAGAGAAAGCAAAUGCGAUUUCCUGAGUAGCGGCGAGCGAAACGGAACAUAGCCCAAACCAAGAGGCUUGCCUCUUGGGGUUGUAGGACAUUCUAUACGGAGUUACAAAGGAACGAGGUAGACGAAGCGACCUGGAAAGGUCCGUCGUAGAGGGUAACAACCCCGUAGUCGAAACUUCGUUCUCUCUUGAAUGUAUCCUGAGUACGGCGGAACACGUGAAAUUCCGUCGGAAUCUGGGAGGACCAUCUCCCAAGGCUAAAUACUCCCUAGUGAUCGAUAGUGAACCAGUACCGUGAGGGAAAGGUGAAAAGCACCCCGGAAGGGGAGUGAAAGAGAUCCUGAAACCGUGUGCCUACAAAUAGUCAGAGCCCGUUAACGGGUGAUGGCGUGCCUUUUGUAGAAUGAACCGGCGAGUUACGAUCCCGUGCGAGGUUAAGCUGAAGAGGCGGAGCCGCAGCGAAAGCGAGUCUGAAUAGGGCGUUUAGUACGUGGUCGUAGACCCGAAACCAGGUGAUCUACCCAUGUCCAGGGUGAAGUUCAGGUAACACUGAAUGGAGGCCCGAACCCACGCACGUUGAAAAGUGCGGGGAUGAGGUGUGGGUAGCGGAGAAAUUCCAAUCGAACCUGGAGAUAGCUGGUUCUCCCCGAAAUAGCUUUAGGGCUAGCCUUAAGUGUAAGAGUCUUGGAGGUAGAGCACUGAUUGGACUAGGGGUCCUCAUCGGAUUACCGAAUUCAGUCAAACUCCGAAUGCCAAUGACUUAUCCUUAGGAGUCAGACUGCGAGUGAUAAGAUCCGUAGUCAAAAGGGAAACAGCCCAGACCGCCAGCUAAGGUCCCAAAGUGUGUAUUAAGUGGAAAAGGAUGUGGAGUUGCUUAGACAACUAGGAUGUUGGCUUAGAAGCAGCCACCAUUUAAAGAGUGCGUAAUAGCUCACUAGUCGAGUGACUCUGCGCCGAAAAUGUACCGGGGCUAAAUACACCACCGAAGCUGCGGAUUGAUACCAAUGGUAUCAGUGGUAGGGGAGCGUUCUAAGGACAGUGAAGUCAGACCGGAAGGACUGGUGGAGUGCUUAGAAGUGAGAAUGCCGGUAUGAGUAGCGAAAGACGGGUGAGAAUCCCGUCCACCGAAUGCCUAAGGUUUCCUGAGGAAGGCUCGUCCGCUCAGGGUUAGUCAGGACCUAAGCCGAGGCCGACAGGCGUAGGCGAUGGACAACAGGUUGAUAUUCCUGUACCACCUCUUUAUCGUUUGAGCAAUGGAGGGACGCAGAAGGAUAGAAGAAGCGUGCGAUUGGUUGUGCACGUCCAAGCAGUUAGGCUGAUAAGUAGGCAAAUCCGCUUAUCGUAAAGGCUGAGCUGUGAUGGGGAAGCUCCUUAUGGAGCGAAGUCUUUGAUUCCCCGCUGCCAAGAAAAGCUUCUAGCGAGAUAAAAGGUGCCUGUACCGCAAACCGACACAGGUAGGCGAGGAGAGAAUCCUAAGGUGUGCGAGAGAACUCUGGUUAAGGAACUCGGCAAAAUGACCCCGUAACUUCGGGAGAAGGGGUGCUUUCUUAACGGAAAGCCGCAGUGAAUAGGCCCAAGCGACUGUUUAGCAAAAACACAGCUCUCUGCGAAGCCGUAAGGCGAAGUAUAGGGGGUGACACCUGCCCGGUGCUGGAAGGUUAAGGAGAGGGGUUAGCGUAAGCGAAGCUCUGAACUGAAGCCCCAGUAAACGGCGGCCGUAACUAUAACGGUCCUAAGGUAGCGAAAUUCCUUGUCGGGUAAGUUCCGACCCGCACGAAAGGUGUAACGAUUUGGGCACUGUCUCAACCAGAGACUCGGUGAAAUUAUAGUACCUGUGAAGAUGCAGGUUACCCGCGACAGGACGGAAAGACCCCGUGGAGCUUUACUGUAGCCUGAUAUUGAAUUUUGGUACAGUUUGUACAGGAUAGGCGGGAGCCAUUGAAACCGGAGCGCUAGCUUCGGUGGAGGCGCUGGUGGGAUACCGCCCUGACUGUAUUGAAAUUCUAACCUACGGGUCUUAUCGACCCGGGAGACAGUGUCAGGUGGGCAGUUUGACUGGGGCGGUCGCCUCCUAAAGUGUAACGGAGGCGCCCAAAGGUUCCCUCAGAAUGGUUGGAAAUCAUUCGUAGAGUGCAAAGGCAUAAGGGAGCUUGACUGCGAGACCUACAAGUCGAGCAGGGACGAAAGUCGGGCUUAGUGAUCCGGUGGUUCCGCAUGGAAGGGCCAUCGCUCAACGGAUAAAAGCUACCCCGGGGAUAACAGGCUUAUCUCCCCCAAGAGUCCACAUCGACGGGGAGGUUUGGCACCUCGAUGUCGGCUCAUCGCAUCCUGGGGCUGUAGUCGGUCCCAAGGGUUGGGCUGUUCGCCCAUUAAAGCGGUACGCGAGCUGGGUUCAGAACGUCGUGAGACAGUUCGGUCCCUAUCCGUCGUGGGCGUAGGAAAUUUGAGAGGAGCUGUCCUUAGUACGAGAGGACCGGGAUGGACGCACCGCUGGUGUACCAGUUGUUCUGCCAAGGGCAUAGCUGGGUAGCUAUGUGCGGAAGGGAUAAGUGCUGAAAGCAUCUAAGCAUGAAGCCCCCCUCAAGAUGAGAUUUCCCAUAGCGUAAGCUAGUAAGAUCCCUGAAAGAUGAUCAGGUUGAUAGGUUCGAGGUGGAAGCAUGGUGACAUGUGGAGCUGACGAAUACUAAUAGAUCGAGGACUUAACCAUA
rnacentral:rRNA from 1 species